rnacentral:rRNA from 1 species
AUUGAACGCUGGCGGCAGGCCUAACACAUGCAAGUCGAACGAGUGGCGGACGGGUGAGUAAUGCUUGGGCAUCUAGCUGAUGGAUGGGGUUAACUACGGGAAACUGUAGCUAAUACCGCGUAGCAUAGGAUGGGCCCGAGUGGGAUUAGGUAGUUGGUGAGGUAAAGGCUUACCAAGCCGACGAUCUCUAGCUGGUCUGAGAGGAUGACCAGUCACAAUGGGACGGAGACACGGCCCAGACUCCUACGGGAGGCAGCAGUGGGGAAUAUUGCGCAAUGGGGGAAAGCUGACGCAGCCAUGCCGCGUGAAUGAAGAAGGUCUUCGGGUUGUAAAGUUCUUUCGGUAGCGAGGCGUUAACUACAGAAGAAGCACCGGCUAACUACGUGCCAGCAGCCGCGGUAAUUC